rnacentral:rRNA from 1 species
GGCGAACGGGUGAGUAACACGUGAGAAGCCUGCCCUAGAGACCGGGACAACCGUUGGAAACAACGGCUAAUACCGGAUGCCUUCACACGGUCGCAUGGCCGAGUGAAGAAAUGCUCAGGUGCUCUAGGAGGGUCUCGCGGCCUAUCAGCUAGUUGGUGAGGUAAUGGCUCACCAAGGCAUCGACGGGUAGCUGGUCUGAGAGGACGAUCAGCCACACUGGGACUGAGACACGGCCCAGACUCCUACGGGAGGCAGCAGUAGGGAAUCUUGCGCAAUGGGGGAAACCCUGACGCAGCAACGCCGCGUGUGGGAUGACGGCUUUCGGGUUGUAAACCACUUUCAGUGAUGACGAAAAUGACGGUAAUCACAGAAGAAGGUCCGGCCAACUACGUGCCAGCAGCCGCGGUAACACGUAGGGACCGAGCGUUGUCCGGAUUUAUUGGGCGUAAAGAGCUC